GACGAACGCUGGCGGCGUGCUUAACACAUGCAAGUCGAACGGAAAGGCCCUGCUUGCAGGGUGCUCGAGUGGCGAACGGGUGAGUAACACGUGGGUGAUCUGCCCCUUACUUUUGGAUAAGCCUGGGAAACUGGGUCUAAUACUGGAUAGGACCAUGCGUUAGGUGGUGUGGUGGAAAGAUUAGUUUCGGUAUGGGAUGAGCUCGCGGCGUAUCAGCUUGUUGGGGGGGGAAUGUCGUAACAAGGCGUCGACGGGUAGCCGGCCUGAGAGGGUGGACGGCCACGUUGGGACUGCGACAGGGCGCAGCAUCCUGCGGGAGGCAGCAGUGGGGAAAAGUGCAAAAGGGGAGCACGGCUGAUGCAGCGACGCCGCGUGGGGGGUGAAGGCCUGCGGGUUGUAAAGUCCUUUCAGCUAGGAAGAAGACCUUGUAGUGACGGUAGUGGUAGAAGAAGCACCGGCUAACUACGUG
rnacentral:rRNA from 1 species